AUGUUCACAGUUGGCGCGGUGGUCGCCGUUGCGCUCAUUGUGCUGACAGCGGCGUGCACGUCGGCGGCGGCAGGAGACGGGCGGCGGGUGGAGGAGGGAGGAGGCGAUGCGGCGCGAGGAGAGGUCACCUACGACGGCAGGGCUCUGGUCGUGAAGGGCACGAGGAGGAUGCUCUUCUCCGGGGAGAUGCACUACACCAGAAGCACGCCCGAGAUGUGGCCAAAACUCAUAGCGAACGCCAGGAAGGGUGGCCUCGAUGUCAUACAAACUUACGUCUUUUGGAAUGUUCACGAGCCUGUCCAGGGCCAGUAUAACUUUGAGGGAAGAUACGAUCUCGUGAAGUUCAUCAGAGAAAUUCAAGCUCAAGGGCUCUAUGUAAGCCUCAGGAUUGGACCCUUUAUUGAGGCAGAAUGGAAAUACGGAGGGUUUCCAUUUUGGCUACAUGAUGUUCCAAACAUCACCUUCCGAACAGACAAUGAACCCUUCAAGCAACAUAUGCAACGAUUUGUCACACAGAUAGUAAACAUGAUGAAACAGGAAGGGCUGUAUUACCCACAAGGAGGCCCGAUCAUCAUUUCUCAGAUUGAGAAUGAGUACCAGAUGGUUGAGCCUGCAUUUGGCUCAGGUGGCCCACGUUAUGUCCGUUGGGCAGCUGAAAUGGCUGUAGGUCUCCAGACAGGUGUUCCAUGGAUGAUGUGCAAGCAAAAUGAUGCCCCAGACCCAAUUAUUAAUACCUGCAACGGGCUCAUCUGUGGAGAAACAUUUGUAGGACCAAACUCACCUAGCAAGCCUGCAUUGUGGACAGAAAAUUGGACAACUCGCUACCCUAUAUAUGGUAAUGAUACAAAGUUGAGAUCUACAGAAGAUAUUGCCUUUGCAGUUGCACUUUUCAUAGCAAGAAAGAAAGGAAGCUUUGUGAGCUACUACAUGUACCAUGGAGGAACAAACUUUGGUAGGUUUGCCUCUUCAUAUGUAACGACAAGUUACUAUGAUGGAGCUCCUCUAGAUGAAUACGGUCUAAUAUGGCGACCUACAUGGGGCCAUCUCAGGGAACUGCAUGCUGCAGUAAAUCUAUCUUCAGAACCAUUACUGUUCGGAACAUACUCCAAUUUUUCAUUAGGUCAAGAACAAGAGGCACAUAUCUUCAAAACAGAAUUGAAGUGUGCGGCGUUCUUGGUCAACUUUGAUAAGCAUCAGUCACCAACAGUAGUAUUCCGUAAUACAUCUUUCCAACUCGCACCCAAAUCCAUCAGUAUUCUAUCAGAGUGCAGGACAGUGGUAUUUGAAACAGCCAAGGUAAAUGCUCAGUAUGGGUCAAGAACAGCCAAAGUAGUAGAGUCUCUUAACGAUAUUCAUACAUGGAAGGCAUUUAAAGAACCAAUUCCUGAAGAUAUAAGCAAGGCUGUGUACACUGGAAACCAACUCUUUGAACAUCUCUCAAUGACUAAAGAUGAAACAGAUUAUCUUUGGUACAUUGUCAGCUAUGAAUAUCGACCAAGUGAUGAUGGUCAGCUUGUGCUUCUUAAUGUUGAGUCGCGAGCACAUGUGUUGCAUGCUUUUGUCAACACUGAAUACAUAGGGAGUGUGCAUGGGAGUCAUGAUGGACCUGGCAACAUAAUUCUCAACAUGAAUAUUUCUCUAAAGGAGGGGCAGAACACCAUAUCAUUGCUAAGUGUAAUGGUUGGAUCACCGGACUCCGGCGCUCACAUGGAAAGAAGAAGCUUUGGAAUUCGUAAAGUGAGCAUACAGCAAGGACAACAACCACUACAUCUCCUCAACAACGAACUAUGGGGGUACCAGGUUGGCUUAUAUGGAGAAGGGAAAAGAAUCUACACGCAAGAAGAAGCAAGCAGUGUUGAAUGGACAGAGAUCAACAAUUUGACAUAUCAUCCACUUACUUGGUACAAGACAACAUUCGCCGCACCAGUGGGCAAUGAUGCGGUGGCACUGAACCUCACUAGUAUGGGGAAGGGAGAAGUAUGGGUCAACGGGGAGAGCAUUGGACGGUAUUGGGUCUCCUUUAAGGCCCCAAGUGGACAGCCCUCUCAAUCCCUGUAUCACGUUCCACAGCACUUCCUGAAACCAACAGACAACCUCCUUGUUCUUGUUGAGGAAAUCGGAGGCAAUCCGCUAGAGAUAACAGUGAACACGGUGUCCAUCACAACAGUGUGUGGCAACGUGAAUGAGCUCUCGUCGCCGGCUCUCCAUACGCAAGGGAAGGAUCCGGAAGUACGUCUACGGUGCCAAAGGGGCAAACACAUCUCAGCAAUUGAGUUUGCGAGUUAUGGGAAUCCUGCAGGCGACUGCACAACAUUUUCAACUGGAAGUUGCCAUGCCGCGCUGUCGGAAUCCGUUGUAAAACAGGCUUGCAUAGGUAAAAGGGGUUGCUCUAUUCCGGUAUCUCCUGCCAAGUUUGGGGGUGAUCCGUGCCCUGGGAUCCAAAAAUCCCUUCUAGUUGUUGCGAGUUGCAGAUGA
rnacentral:rRNA from 1 species